AUGGUGGACCAUCUCUUCUUCAGAUGCCGGUUCUCUCUCCGCCUUUGGGGCAUGAUCAAAGGGUGGCUCCAGCUUGACUACCUCAACAUCUCUUCUUGGGCUGGGCGUCGCUCGGUAAAGGAUUGGUGGCUCAGCAUGUCGGCCUUCCAUGCCAUGAACCGGAAGGCGAUGACCUCUAUCACCCUGCUCACUUGCUGGUUUAUAUGGUGUGAGAGAAACGCAAUGGUUUUUCGGCACAAGUCGACGCUCCCGUCCAUUUUGCUCUCCAACAUUCGGGACGAGAUCGGCCUUUGGGUGCUUGCGGGCGCAAAACAUUUGGGUAGCAUCAUACCGGGAGAGUAG
rnacentral:rRNA from 1 species